CGCUGGCGGCGUGCCUAACACAUGCAAGUCGAACGGUAACAGGUCUUCGGAUGCUGACGAGUGGCGCACGGGUGAGUAACGCGUGGAUAUCUGCCUAUUAGUGGGGGACAACUUUCGGAAACGGAAGCUAAUACCGCAUAAUCUCUACGGAGGAAAGCAGGGGACCUUUCGGGGCCUUGUGCUGAUAGAUGAGUCCGCGUCUGAUUAGCUAGUUGGUAGGGUAAAGGCCUACCAAGGCGAUGAUCAGUAUCUGGUUUGAGAGGAUGAUCAGACACACUGGAACUGAGACACGGUCCAGACUUCUACGGAAGGCAGCAGUGGGGAAUAUUGCACAAUGGGGGAAACCCUGAUGCAGCGACGCCGCGUGUGGGAAGAAGGCUUUAGGGUUGUAAACCACUUUCAAUUGGGAAGAAGAGAUGAGUACUAAUAUUAUUCUGAUUUGACGGUACCUUUAGAAGAAGCACCGGCUAAUUUCGUGCCAGCAGCCGCGGUAAUACGAAAGGUGCAAGCGUUGUUCGGAUUUACUGGGCGUAAAGCGAGUGUAGGUUGUUUAUUAAGUCGGAUGUGAAAUCCCAGGGCUCAACCCUGGAACUGCAUUCGAUACUGAUAGGCUAGAGUUCGGGAGGGGUAAGCGGAAUUCCGUGUGUAGCAGUGAAAUGCGUAGAUAUACGGAGGAACACCUGAGGCGAAGGCGGCUUACUGGACCGAUACUGACACUGAGACUCGAAAGCGUGGGUAGCAAACAGGAUUAGAUACCCUGGUAGUCCACGCCCUAAACGAUGUCAACUAGCCGUUGCGGGUAUCGACCCCUGCAGUGGCGAAGCUAACGCGAUAAGUUGACCGCCUGGGGAGUACGGU
rnacentral:rRNA from 1 species